rnacentral:rRNA from 1 species
UAAGCGACUAAGCGUACACGGUGGAUGCCCUGGCAGUCAGAGGCGAUGAAGGACGUGCUAAUCUGCGAUAAGCGUCGGUAAGGUGAUAUGAACCGUUAUAACCGGCGAUUUCCGAAUGGGGAAACCCAGUGUGAUUCGUCACACUAUCAUUAACUGAAUCCAUAGGUUAAUGAGGCGAACCGGGGGAACUGAAACAUCUAAGUACCCCGAGGAAAAGAAAUCAACCGAGAUUCCCCCAGUAGCGGCGAGCGAACGGGGAGCAGCCCAGAGCCUGAAUCAGUGUGUGUGUUAGUGGAAGCGUCUGGAAAGGCGUGCGAUACAGGGUGACAGCCCCGUACACAAAAAUGCACAUAUUGUGAGCUCGAUGAGUAGGGCGGGACACGUGGUAUCCUGUCUGAAUAUGGGGAGUACCAUCCUCCAAGGCUAAAUACUCCUGACUGACCGAUAGUGAACCAGUACCGUGAGGGAAAGGCGAAAAGAACCCCGGCGAGGGGAGUGAAAAAGAACCUGAAACCGUGUACGUACAAGCAGUGGGAGCACGCUUAGGCGUGUGACUGCGUACCUUUUGUAUAAUGGGUCAGCGACUUAUAUUCUGUAGCAAGGUUAACCGAAUAGGGGAGCCGAAGGGAAACCGAGUCUUAACUGGGCGUUAAGUUGCAGGGUAUAGACCCGAAACCCGGUGAUCUAGCCAUGGGCAGGUUGAAGGUUGGGUAACACUAACUGGAGGACCGAACCGACUAAUGUUGAAAAAUUAGCGGAUGACUUGUGGCUGGGGGUGAAAGGCCAAUCAAACCGGGAGAUAGCUGGUUCUCCCCGAAAGCUAUUUAGGUAGCGCCUCGUGAAUUCAUCUCCGGGGGUAGAGCACUGUUUCGGCAAGGGGGUCAUCCCGACUUACCAACCCGAUGCAAACUGCGAAUACCGGAGAAUGUUAUCACGGGAGACACACGGCGGGUGCUAACGUCCGUCGUGAAGAGGGAAACAACCCAGACCGCCAGCUAAGGUCCCAAAGUCAUGGUUAAGUGGGAAACGAUGUGGGAAGGCCCAGACAGCCAGGAUGUUGGCUUAGAAGCAGCCAUCAUUUAAAGAAAGCGUAAUAGCUCACUGGUCGAGUCGGCCUGCGCGGAAGAUGUAACGGGGCUAAACCAUGCACCGAAGCUGCGGCAGCGACACUAUGUGUUGUUGGGUAGGGGAGCGUUCUGUAAGCCUGUGAAGGUGUACUGUGAGGUAUGCUGGAGGUAUCAGAAGUGCGAAUGCUGACAUAAGUAACGAUAAAGCGGGUGAAAAGCCCGCUCGCCGGAAGACCAAGGGUUCCUGUCCAACGUUAAUCGGGGCAGGGUGAGUCGACCCCUAAGGCGAGGCCGAAAGGCGUAGUCGAUGGGAAACAGGUUAAUAUUCCUGUACUUGGUGUUACUGCGAAGGGGGGACGGAGAAGGCUAUGUUGGCCGGGCGACGGUUGUCCCGGUUUAAGCGUGUAGGCUGGUUUUCCAGGCAAAUCCGGAAAACUAAGGCUGAGGCGUGAUGACGAGGCACUACGGUGCUGAAGCAACAAAUGCCCUGCUUCCAGGAAAAGCCUCUAAGCAUCAGGUAACAUCAAAUCGUACCCCAAACCGACACAGGUGGUCAGGUAGAGAAUACCAAGGCGCUUGAGAGAACUCGGGUGAAGGAACUAGGCAAAAUGGUGCCGUAACUUCGGGAGAAGGCACGCUGAUAUGUAGGUGAAGUCCCUCGCGGAUGGAGCUGAAAUCAGUCGAAGAUACCAGCUGGCUGCAACUGUUUAUUAAAAACACAGCACUGUGCAAACACGAAAGUGGACGUAUACGGUGUGACGCCUGCCCGGUGCCGGAAGGUUAAUUGAUGGGGUCAGCGCAAGCGAAGCUCUUGAUCGAAGCCCCGGUAAACGGCGGCCGUAACUAUAACGGUCCUAAGGUAGCGAAAUUCCUUGUCGGGUAAGUUCCGACCUGCACGAAUGGCGUAAUGAUGGCCAGGCUGUCUCCACCCGAGACUCAGUGAAAUUGAACUCGCUGUGAAGAUGCAGUGUACCCGCGGCAAGACGGAAAGACCCCGUGAACCUUUACUAUAGCUUGACACUGAACAUUGAGCCUUGAUGUGUAGGAUAGGUGGGAGGCUUUGAAGUGUGGACGCCAGUCUGCAUGGAGCCGACCUUGAAAUACCACCCUUUAAUGUUUGAUGUUCUAACGUUGACCCGUAAUCCGGGUUGCGGACAGUGUCUGGUGGGUAGUUUGACUGGGGCGGUCUCCUCCUAAAGAGUAACGGAGGAGCACGAAGGUUGGCUAAUCCUGGUCGGACAUCAGGAGGUUAGUGCAAUGGCAUAAGCCAGCUUGACUGCGAGCGUGACGGCGCGAGCAGGUGCGAAAGCAGGUCAUAGUGAUCCGGUGGUUCUGAAUGGAAGGGCCAUCGCUCAACGGAUAAAAGGUACUCCGGGGAUAACAGGCUGAUACCGCCCAAGAGUUCAUAUCGACGGCGGUGUUUGGCACCUCGAUGUCGGCUCAUCACAUCCUGGGGCUGAAGUAGGUCCCAAGGGUAUGGCUGUUCGCCAUUUAAAGUGGUACGCGAGCUGGGUUUAGAACGUCGUGAGACAGUUCGGUCCCUAUCUGCCGUGGGCGCUGGAGAACUGAGGGGGGCUGCUCCUAGUACGAGAGGACCGGAGUGGACGCAUCACUGGUGUUCGGGUUGUCAUGCCAAUGGCACUGCCCGGUAGCUAAAUGCGGAAGAGAUAAGUGCUGAAAGCAUCUAAGCACGAAACUUGCCCCGAGAUGAGUUCUCCCUGACUCCUUGAGAGUCCUGAAGGAACGUUGAAGACGACGACGUUGAUAGGCCGGGUGUGUAAGCGCAGCGAUGCGUUGAGCUAACCGGUACUAAUGAACCGUGAGGCUUAACCU